rnacentral:tRNA from 1 species
GGCCCUAUCGUCUAGUGGUUAGGACAUAGCGUUCUCAACGCUGUAACAGGGGUUCGAUUCCCCUUAGGGCUG